UACAGAGGUCCCAAGCGUUGUUCGGAUUCAUUGGGCGUAAAGGGUGCGUAGGUGGCGUCGUAAGUCGGGUGUGAAAUCUCGGGGCUUAACUCCGAAACUGCAUUCGAUACUGCGGUGCUUGAGGACUGGAGAGGAGACUGGAAUUUACGGUGUAGCAGUGAAAUGCGUAGAGAUCGUAAGGAAGACCAGUGGCGAAGGCGGGUCUCUGGACAGUUCCUGACGCUGAGGCACGAAGUCCAGGGGAGCAAACGGG
rnacentral:rRNA from 1 species